GGUUAAGUUAUGAAGGGCGCAUGGUGGAUGCCUUGGUACUAGGAGCCGAUGAAGGACGGGACUAACACCGAUAUGCUUCGGGGAGCUGUACGUAAGCUUUGAUCCGGAGAUUUCCGAAUGGGGAAACCCAAUCAUCUUUACCGAUGAUUACAACUUGAUGAAUACAUAGUCAAGUUGAGGCAGACGUGGGGAACUGAAACAUCUAAGUACCCACAGGAAGAGAAAGAAAAAUCGAUUCCCUAAGUAGC
rfam:Megaselia scalaris, Durham, NC isolate 2 -- Noor lab, WGS project CAQQ02000000 data, contig: ctg0000212688